GCCCAAACAUCUAUUGCUGGGGUAUAAUCGUGAGCUCCCAAAAGUAGCUCUGGCGCACGAUACCAAAUAGUAACUACUACACGAUCGCUGGAAUAAAAUGGUAAUAUGGGAUCCCGAAUGAGCCUUCCCAGCCCUAGGUCCCCAAUUUUUACCUUGCCUGUAGCUGUAAUCAUUAUGUUUGCUGGUUUCAAAUCUCGAUGCAUAAUCCAGUUUUCAUGUAGGUAUGCUACACCAUUAAUGAUCUGCCAUAGAAUACUUUUUAAAAUUGAUGGUGGAAUUUGUCUUGUUCUAGAUCGGCUAUGGAAAUGAAUAAUUUGCAACAGAUCGUGUUCGGCGUAUUCAAAAACCAUGCUAAUUGUGCCAUCUUUGAGUAAAACUUGAACCAAGCUAACUAUAUUUUCAUGCUGAAUUUCUCUACACAGCAUCAUUUCACGAAUAGCACUUUGAGAAACGCCGGUUUGUUGAGCAUUCGAGCUUACUUGCUUUGACUCAGCUUUGAACUUUUUAAUUGCAAACAGUCGUUUAUCAUUCGAAUUAGAUGAAACCGCUUUAUAAACCUUUCCAUAAGUUCCAGAUGAGAUAAACCCAAUAAUUUUAUAACCGUCUUUCAUGCUGAAAUGACCCUACCCUAUCAAACCUUUAAAGAGAUGGAUAUAUACACAUUCAAUCACAUAGGGAUGCUUUUUACAGUCUUUAUAUAAAAAGUAUCCGACUUUUUAGUAUCACUUAAAAAGUCAGAUGAAUGUAGGUCUCUCUAUAGUGGGAAGUGACGAAGGCGACAGAAACAUUAGUAUUAGGCGAAUAAAGAGUCAAAGUACCACGAAUCUUUUUAUGCCUACCCACUAUUAACGAAAACACCAAGUCUGAUAAACUGAAGGUUUUAAACAUCAGAUGGUAAUUUUCAUAAAGCUGUUUGUUCUUAUUUAAAAGUUAACUGAAUUUGUGAAUUGAUUGGCAAGUAUAGAAAAUCCGUGCACUACUGAGCUUUUGUAUCUCACCACUGACAUUCUUCUCGAAAGCAAUGAUUCGCAUUCUGUCAUGCGAUAUGCAGCAUAAUGUCUGUAUGCCUAUUCAAUUUUAACAAUAGCACUUUAGAAGUAUGCCAUUUCUUUUGAUGAUUUAAGUAAUGUUCUAAUUCUUCAAGUGUAUACAAAGUAGUGAUAUAAUGUCUUAAUUUAUAUGAUGUGUAGUUAAAAACUGUCUGUAGGAAAUUUUAUUUGACAAGCAAUAAAAUAAAUUGAUA